AGUUGGACUCUAGAGAUAGAGCCUUCCCCUUCGGGGGACAAAGUGACAGGUGGUGCAUGGUUGUCGUCAGCUCGUGUCGUGAGAUGUUGGGUUAAGUCCCGCAACGAGCGCAACCCUUAAGCUUAGUUGCCAUCAUUAAGUUGGGCACUCUAGGUUGACUGCCGGUGACAAACCGGAGGAAGGUGGGGAUGACGUCAAAUCAUCAUGCCCCUUAUGAUUUGGGCUACACACGUGCUACAAUGGACAAUACAAAGGGCAGCUAAACCGCGAGGUCAUGCAAAUCCCAUAAAGUUGUUCUCAGUUCGGAUUGUAGUCUGCAACUCGACUACAUGAAGCUGGAAUCGCUAGUAAUCGUAGAUCAGCAUGCUACGGUGAAUACGUUCCCGGGUCUUGAAACACACCGA
rnacentral:rRNA from 1 species